AAAACGCGAAGAGUAAUAAAAAAAAUUGUACGAAACACACUAUCGCACAUACACUGAACACAAGAGAUUUUUAAUGAGUAAAAUGGGGAAAAUGUUCAUUGGAAUAUCAUCGACACAAUCGGACAAUUGAGAGAGUAAAUUUCACAUUUGCAUCAACUAAUCAUUUCAAUGGUCACGCAACCGCACUUCUAAUGUUCACUCUGAUCAAUUUCUGCAUUAAAAUUUCGCAACACACAUACGAGCAACGGCGACACAAACUAUAUGUACACUAAUUGAACCCAAACCAAAGAAGGCUAAUACAAAAAAAAAAGAUUGAGGAGAAAAUGCCAAAGGAAAUAUUGGUGAGCUCAAUUGUUAAAAGUCGUCAAGAUAUCGUAUUAUUGAAACAUUUUCAUGCGCUUUACAUUCUGA